rnacentral:rRNA from 1 species
AAUAAUUUAAUGGCUGCAGUAUUUUAACUGUACAAAGGUAGCAUAAUAAUUAGUUCCUUAAUUAGGGACUGGAAUGAAGGAUUGAACGAGAUAGAAAUUGUCUCUUUUUAAAUUUUAUAAUUUUAUUUUUAAGUUAAAAAGCUUAAAUAAUUUUAAAAGACGAGAAGACCCUAUAGAGUUUUAUAGUUAUAUUAUUUAUAAAUUUUGGUAAUAAAAUUUUAUAAAUAUAAUAAUUAUUUGAUUGGGGUGAUUUUAAAAUUUAAAAAACUUUAAUAUUUUUAACAUUUAUAUAUGAUAAAUUGAUCCAUAAAUUAUGAUUAAAAGAUUAAAUUACCUUAGGGAUAACAGCGUAAUUUUUUUUAAGAGUUCUUAUCGAAAAAAAAGAUUGCGACCUCGAUGUUGGAUUAAAAUAAAUUUUUGGUGUAGAAGCUAAAAUAUUAGGUCUGUUCGACCUUUAAAAUUUUACAUGAUCUGAGUUUAAAUCGGCGUGAGCCAGGUUGGUUUCUAUCUUUAAUUAAAUAAAAUAUUUUAGUACGAAAGGACCAUAUAUUUAUAAAGUUUAUUAUUUAUGAUUAAUAUUA